ensembl:misc_RNA Metazoa_SRP Metazoan signal recognition particle RNA
GCCAAGCAUGGCAGUGCAUGCCUGUAAUCCCAGCUACUCGGAGGCUGAGGCAGGAGGAUCACUUGAGCCCGGGAGGUCCCAGCUGCAGUGAGCCAUGUUCGUGCCACUGCACUCCAGCCUGGGCAACAAAGUGAGACCCUGUCUCAA